AUGUAUGUAUGUAUGUAGGUAUCUGUUCAAAUGUGGGCGAGAAUGUGCUCACGCGCGCGCGUGUGCGUGUGUAAGUGUAUGUAGGUGUGUGUAAGAGGGUGUAUGUGUGUGUGUGCAUGCGCGCACGCGUAUACGUAUGUGUAUGUGUGAGGGUGCUACUGUUUUUACUUGUGAUGGAGAAUUCCCAACAGCCCACGAUGUGCCCGUGUGCGUAUUAGUACGUUUCUGCAUAUUGUGCACAACUGCCCAUGUCGUUUUGCUGUGCAA
rnacentral:lncRNA from 1 species